rnacentral:tRNA from 1 species
UGGGUUGUGGCUCAGCGGUAGAGUGCUCACCUAGCAUGUGCGAGUCGAGGCGUUGGGUUCAAUCCUCAGCACCACAC